ensembl:snoRNA
ACCGAGACUAUAGAGUCACAUCUGGGCACUGCCUGUUGUCCUGGUGUGCUGGAGUCCUCGGACAGUAAACACUAAUCUAUUCACUGGCUGUGCCCACUCCUGUCUCAGUCAGUCACCAGGUUAGUGACAGGA